UCACACGCGUGGCACCACUCCACGACUGCCGACGGGACGGGGACGGGGACGGCGCGACGUACGCACUACUCUCCACCGGUCUCCACUCCGCUCGCCACCCGCCCGCCUGCCUCGGAAUCGAGGCCGGCCGGUGCUCGUGAUUCCAGUCCUCCGUCGGGCGCGGCGGCGUCAGCGUUCCUCCGCCGUGUGCCGCCUCCCUCUCCAUGGAUUUCGUCUGCCCCGGCGACCCCGCGGUAUGGGACGUCGACGGGAGGCGUUUCGGGCCGUGCUUCGCGGAUUUGGUGCUGGGAUUCGCUGGGAAUGCGAUCGCCGCGGUUGCUGCACUUGGGCUCUUCCUCGCCAAGAGGAACACAAACAGAGCUCAGAACGUCACAAGAAGUUUAUCGGAGAAGUUGCUUGCAUUCGGUGUGCCUGGUUUUGCAGCCUGCCUUUCUUUGCUUGGAUUGACUAUGCUAGCUAAGAAGAAAUUUGAAGGGAAGGAUGUUAAAAAUUAUGAACUAUUCUUCACAUGCUCCCAGUUUAUUGCAUGGAUGUCUCUAAGUCUUGUCCGUGUCAGUGGGGCUUGGUUUGAAAUCCUCUAUAACCCAAUAAUGUGCUUCUUCUGGAUAUUGAAGGUUAUUCUAGAGAUACCUCAUUUGCAAUACAAGCUUAUCUUACUGAAGGCAGCGUCAUCUUUUAUCGAGAUUAUCUCAUUUUGUACUGCAACCAUAUUUGGACUCUUUGUCACUGUGGCUGCUGUAAUAGGCCAAUCAGGCAUCAAAAGAGAAGCGAACUCUAUUGAAGCCCCACUCAUUCCAAAUAAUGAAAAGGCUGAGGGUGAAACUACAGACAUGAUAAAGGACUACAGUUUGUGGGAACUGUUGACUUUCAAAUUCGUUAAUCCAGUGAUGGACAUUGGUAUCACAAGACAACUUGACUUCACAGAUUUACUUGAGUUACCAAAUGAGCUCAGAGCUACCUCCUGUUAUGACAAACUUCUGUCUUCCUGGACUGCUGAAUAUCAAAACCACCAUGAUAACUCAUCUCUACUUAGAGCCAUGUCUAAUUCUUAUGGAUGGACAUACUUGCGUUUGGGCCUUCUUAAGGUAUUAAAUGACAGCAUCGGUUUUGUUAGCCCUCUGUUGCUUAACAAGUUUAUAAGACUUCUUCAGCAAGGUUCUGAUGGCAUGGAUGGAUAUAUUCUUGCCAUUUCCUUAGGAUUGACUUCUAUUAUCAAGUCCUUUUUAGAUAGCCAAUACUCAUUUCGUCUAGCAAAGCUCAAGUUGAUGUUACGAUCAAGCAUCAUGGGGAUAAUUUAUUGGAAGUGCCUAUGUCUCAGUCUAGCUGAGCGUUCUAGGUUUUCUGAAGGUGAGAUACAAACCUUCAUGUCUGUUGAUGCUGAUCGCACAAUAAACUUGUGUAACAGCCUUCAUGAUGCCUGGAGCUUGCCACUACAGAUUGGAGUUGCUCUUUAUCUGUUAUAUACACAAGUCAAUUAUGCUUUUCUAUCUGGGCUUGCAAUAACAAUCAUACUAAUACCAGUGAACAAAUGGAUUUCUACAAGGAUUGCUGGUGCAACAGAAAAGAUGAUGAAGCAAAAAGACAGGAGGAUAAGCUGUGCAGGGGAGCUCUUAGCACAUAUUAGAACAGUGAAGAUGUACAGUUGGGAGAAACUAUUCACUGAACGUUUGGUGGAAAGAAGAGAAUCAGAAGUGAAGCAUCUCGCGACAAGAAAAUAUCUGGAUGCUUGGUGCGUCUAUUUCUGGGCAACCACACCGACAUUGUUCUCCCUUUCCACCUUUUCUAUUUUUGCAAUAACGGGACACGCAUUGGAUGCUGCCACGGUAUUUACUUGUGUUGCACUCUUUAACACACUAAUAUCACCGCUAAACUCAUUUCCAUGGGUUAUUAAUGGGAUGAUUGAUGCUGUUAUCUCUAGCAGACGGCUGAGUAAUUAUUUAUCUACUCCAGAGCAUCACUCAUCCGAGUUAAAUGCCUCUGCUGACCUUUUAAACCACCACUUUAAGAGAUAUACCAAAGUAACUCAUAAUCCAAUGGCCAUCGUCUUUCAGAAUGUAUCCUGUUCUUGGUCUAGCAGCUCUGUUGCUGAGCUGAACAUAGUUCUCAGAGAUAUAUCUUUGCAGCUACAAAAAGGGUUCUUUAUUGCAAUUGUAGGCGAGGUUGGUUCUGGUAAAUCAUCUUUAUUGAACACAGUCAUUGGAGAGACUCGUGUCAUCAGUGGUUCUAUUAGCUCCUGUGGUUCAAUUGCCUAUGUACCACAGGUACCAUGGAUCUUAUCUGGCUCUUUACGAGAUAAUAUUUUGCUUGGUAAAGAAUUUGAUCCAAGGAGAUACGAAGAAGUAAUAGAGGCAUGUGCGCUUCAUGUUGACAUAUCGGCAAUGACCAGAGGAGAUAUGUCACAUAUUGGAGAGAAAGGUACCAACUUAUCUGGUGGACAAAGAGCUCGUCUAGCAUUGGCAAGGGCUUUGUACCACAAUUCUGAUGUAUACUUGUUUGAUGACAUCCUUAGCGCGGUUGACUCCCAAGUUGCUUCGUGCAUCCUGGAAAAGGCUAUUAUGGGGCACCAACUAAUGCAGAAAACAAGAUUACUAAGCACACACAAUCUUCAGGCCAUUUUUGCUGCAGAUAUGAUUGUAGUCAUGGCUAAUGGGCUCAUCAAGUGGUUCGGGACACCGAAAUCUUUCUUGGCAACUCCAUAUUCAAGAACCUCUAAGCCAGAUAAUUCAAGUCCUACCUCAUUUGCAGCUUCUGUGAAAGAUAAAACACCAAUGGUAACAUGUGAACUGAAACCUGAUGCUGUACUUGAAGAUUCAGUGGUUUGUUAUGAGGAGACAAAAGAUCGGGUAGAAGAAGAGGCAAGGAAACAAGGCAAGGUUGAGCUUGGUGUCUACAAAAAAUAUGCAGCAUUUGUGGGGUGGUCAACUGUUGUUUUAAUAUUCCUAAGCGCAUUCUUAAUGCAAACAUCUCGUAACGGCAAUGAUAUUUGGUUAACUUACUGGGUUGAUACCAGCACAGGCACCAACAACACGAGGUUUUAUCUUAUUAUCCUUGCUAUGUUUGGCAUCAUCAAUUCUCUUUUCACUUUGGGAAGGGCAUUUUCUUUUGCAUUCGGUGGCCUCCGUGCAGCAAUCCAUAUUCAUGCAUCUCUUCUUGAAAAUAUCAUCAGUGCACCGAUUUGUUUCUUUGACCAAAAUCCCAGUGGUCGGAUCCUAAACAGAUUAUCGUCAGACCUCUAUGCCGUUGAUGAUUCUCUUCCUUUCAUCCUCAAUAUAUUUGUGGCCAACUUCUUCAGCUUAUUCGGCACUCUGGUUGUUUUGUCUUAUUCACAGGUUUCCUUCUUACUCGUCUUACUUCCACUCUGGCUUAUCUAUAGGAAGUUGCAGUUCUAUUACAGGUCUACAUCACGUGAAGUACGGCGACUUGAUAGCGUUGCUCGUUCACCAAUCUAUUCAUCUUUCACAGAGACACUUGAUGGUUCAUCAACAAUAAGAGCUUUCCAGAAUGAAGGGUUCUUCUUUGAAAGAUUCAUCCAACAUGUGACACUAUAUCAGAAAACGUCCUACACUGAGCUCGUUGCUAGUUUGUGGCUCUCGUUGAGACUCCAGUUGUUGGCAGGUUUUAUCAUUCUGUUUAUCGCCAUGAUGGCUACUAUCAGCUUCCAUAGCAGUUCUCUUGUCAACUUUGCAACACCUGGACUGGUGGGCCUGGCUUUAUCAUAUGCAGCACCGGUAGUAUCAUUGCUCAAUGGCUUCUUAACCACCUUUACAGAGACAGAAAAGGAAAUGAUCUCCGUGGAAAGGGUUGACGAGUACAUUGGCAUACCUCAAGAAGAACUCCAGGGAUCAGAACCUCCACCGAGAAGCUGGCCAACGGAAGGGAAGAUCGAGUUUGAACAUGUAACACUGAAGUACAAGCCAGAGCUCCCACCUGCUUUAAGUGACGUUUCGUUCCUUAUUGCAUCAGGCAUGCAGGUUGGAAUAAUAGGAAGGACUGGAGCAGGCAAAUCAAGUAUACUGAAUGCACUUUUCCGCUUAGUUCCAAUUUGGAACGGCCGCAUAUUAGUAGAUGGCAUUGAUUUGGCUAAAGUUGCCGUCCGAGAACUCCGUGGACAUUUUGCAGUGGUCCCACAGAGCCCCUUUUUGUUUGAUGGGUCUUUGAGGGAAUAAACAAAAAAUAAUGUUCAACAUUCAAUAUUUUAAUAGUGAAUAUACAUGACAGGGAAAACCUGGAUCCUUUCAAUACAAAAACAGAUCUUAGGAUAUGGGAAGUUCUUGAAAACUGCCAUAUGAAGGGACAGGUAGAAUCAAUAGGUGGACUUGACAUUCAUGUGAAAGAAAGCGGUGCAUCUUUUUCAGUAGGGCAGCGGCAGCUCCUAUGCCUUGCCCGAGCCAUCCUAAAAUCAUCCAAGGUGCUUUGUCUAGAUGAAUGCACAGCCAAUGUUGACAACCAAACAGCCUCCCUGUUGCAAAAUACUAUUUCUGCUGAAUGCAAAGGCAUGACUGUUCUCACCAUAGCGCAUCGUAUUUCAACAGUGAUGAAGAUGGACAAUAUUCUAGUUCUUGAUCAAGGAAAACUGGUUGAAGAAGGAAACCCAGAAGCCCUUAUGAAUCACAGACACUCAAGAUUCGCUCAGCAUGUCAAGGCCUCUCAGAUGUGAUUAUGGGAGCAUGGUUUCCUACUAUGUUAUGCUAGGCCUUUUUACUUUUUUAGAGUUAGAACUUAGACAAUAUUUACUAUGGAGCAAUGAGCUUGUAAGAACAGUUCCGAAUUGACACCACUAGCUAAUAUGGCUAAUAGAGGCUUUGACCCUCUCCGAAUCAUUGAACAUGAUGAUCCCCUAGCUGUUAAAAUUCCAUGCUUUGUUACUAACAGGGAAUGGAUCUCAGAACCUGUUUCUAAACAAGUACUGUUCAUAAAACCCUUAUUUCA